rnacentral:lncRNA from 1 species
CGGUAGCUUUAAAUGCCAAUGAUGUAAACAUAUAUGCUGGUACUAGAAAUCAUUACUUGCAAAAUCAUAUAUUUUCUUCUGUGGUUGUGAUGUAAUACCAUUAAGAUCGAAAUAAUGUGUGUUCAUUCAAAAUAGGUGAUUAGGUUAAUGAUGUGAUUUAUUUAUCAACUUAAAACUGAUUAUAGUGAGCUCACUAUUAGUUCUAAAUUAAUUCCUAUAUUUAUCUUCCUCGUCUGUCCAGAUAAAAAAUGUGGAUAAUAGUUUCUUUCUCUGAAAGUAUCGUGGAUAACCAAACUGAGCCACACUGUAUUUUGGACUUUAAUCUAUAUUGCCCUACUAUCUCCCUUGUUUAUUCUAUAUUGUCCCA